rnacentral:rRNA from 1 species
AUUGAACGCUGGCGGCAGGCCUAACACAUGCAAGUCGAGCGAGCGGCGGACGGGUGAGUAAUGUAUGGGGAUCUGCCUGAUGGCGGGGGAUAACUACUGGAAACGGUAGCUAAUACCGCAUACCAUCAGAUGAACCCAGAUGGGAUUCUCUUGUAGGUGGGGUAACGGCUCACCUAGGCGACGAUCCCUAGCUGGUCUGAGAGGAUGAUCAGCCAAACUGGGACGGAGACACGGCCCAGACUCAUACGGGAGGCAGCAGUGGGGAAUAUGGCACAAUGGGCGCAAGCCUGAUGCAGCCAUGCCGCGUGUAUGAAGAAGGCCUUCGGGUUGUAAAGUACUUUCAGUCGGGAGGCGUUACCGACAGAAGAAGCACCGGCUAACUCCGUGCCAGCCGCCGCGGUAAUAC